UCCCUGGAGGACUAGUGGUUAGGCCACAGCGCUCUCACCGGUGCAGCCCGAGCUCGAUUCCCGGCCAGGGAA